AUUGAACGCUGGCGGAAUGCCUUACACAUGCAAGUCGAACGGCAGCACGGACUUCGGUCUGGUGGGGAGUGGCGAACGGGUGAGUAAUGUAUCGGAACGUGCCCAGUCGUGGGGGAUAACGUAGUGAAAAUUACGCUAAUACCGCAUACGAUCUAUGGAUGAAAGCGGGGGAUCGCAAGACCUCGCGCGAUUCGCGCGGCCGAUAUCAGAUUAGGUAGUUGGUGGGGUAAAGGCCCACCCAGCCAACGAUCUGUAGCUGGUCUGAGAGGACGACCAGCCACACUGGAACUGAGACACGGUCCAGACUCCUACGGGAGGCAGCAGUGGGGAAUUUUGGACAAUGGGCGAAAGCCUGAUCCAGCCAUUCCGCGUGCAGGAUGAAGGCCCUCGGGUUGUAAACUGCUUUUGUACAGAACGAAAAGGUUUCUACUAAUACUAGGAGCUCAUGACGGUACUGUAAGAAUAAGCACCGGCUAACUACGUGCCAGCCGCCGCUGUAA
rnacentral:rRNA from 1 species